UGGUCACUCUCACUCUUCUCUAUGAAAAUGAAUAAACUUGUUGCUGGCCUGUAUUAUUCAUCUGACCCACAGAGCUGAUGGGGAGUCUCUGACGGAACAUGUCGUUGUCAGCUUUGGUUGCCGUGACAAAAUACCACAGACCAGAUGGCUUAAACACACAGGGAUUUAUUUGUCAGGGUUCUAGAGGCUGGAAGUCCAAGACCAAGGUGCCCGCAGACUGUCCCAGGGGAAGAACUGGCUGGAACUUGAAGUACUAGCUGGGAAGCCCUAGGCAUGAAUACAAGAUAGAACCGAGGACAGAGAGAAGGGAGGAUUGUGGAGAGCCGGCUCCAGGCCCCCAUGUUUCAGAGCAAACUCUGAAAAGGACAAGAAUUCUACAUGCAAGCCCCGCCUUCCAGGUGAUUAAGGAGAUGGGCGUGU